rnacentral:rRNA from 1 species
AGAGUUUGAUCCUGGCUCAGGAUGAACGCUGGCGGUCUGCUUAACACAUGCAAGUCGAACGGAGUAGAAAUACUUAGUGGCGGACGGGUGAGUAACGCGUGAGAAUCUGCCUUCAGGACGGAGACAACAGUUGGAAACGACUGCUAAGCCCCGAUGAACCGAAAGGGAAAAUAUUUAUAGCCUGAAGAUGAGCUCGCGUCCGAUUAGCUAGUUGGCGGAGUAAAAGCCCACCAAGGCGACGAUCGGUAGCUGGUCUGAGAGGACGAUCAGCCACACUGGGACUGAGACACGGCCCAGACUCCUACGGGAGGCAGCAGUGGGGAAUUUUCCGCAAUGGGCGAAAGCCUGACGGAGCAAGACCGCGUGGGGGAAGAAGGCUCUUGGGUUGUAAACCCCUUUUCUCUGGGAAGAAAGUUGUGAAAGCAACCUGACGGUACCAGAGGAAUCAGCAUCGGCUAACUCCGUGCCAGCAGCCGCGGUAAUACGGAGGAUGCAAGCGUUAUCCGGAUUUAUUGGGCGUAAAGCGUCCGCAGGUGGUUUUACAAGUCUGCUGUUAAAGCGCGAGGCUUAACCUCGUACAGGCAGUGGAAACUGUGAGACUAGGGUAUGGUAGGGGUAGCGGGAAUUCCCAGUGUAGCGGUGAAAUGCGUAGAUAUUGGGAAGAACACCAGCGGCGAAAGCGCGCUACUGGGCCAUUACUGACACUCAUGGACGAAAGCUAGGGGAGCGAAAGGGAUUAGAUACCCCCGUAGUCC